GGUUUAAGGAUAAAAGCACCGAUAAUUUAACGGAUCUAAACAAUAUACCGAUACCUUGUCUAAAUAUAUUAAUGUAUCUAUAUAUUACAUUGUAUAUUUGGGGUAGCAGAACAUUGGGGAAGUUUAUGAUUAUGCCUUUAUAAGGCAUAAUUUUUUUUUUUUAUAUUUAACAAGCCAAGCGAUAAUGCUGACAUGAGUAACGAUAAAGGGGAAUACCCUCGCCUAAAGCUUAUGGAAUUUAAUUAAAGUUACGGCCUCUAAGUUUAUUAUAUCAGCGAAGCAGAUAAUAAAUAAUCAGUUAUCUGCUUCGCUGUUAAUAAUCCCAAAAGGGGUAAACGAUGAGCAAAUCUAAGAUUUACAGAAGAUAACAUUUUCAUGUUUCGCAACAUAGUGACAAGUGUUCUGGAAAACUGUAAAUCUCGUUUGCUAAAUAGUAAUAAACUAAAUUAGAUGAUACGUUUAGCAAAUGUUUU
rnacentral:rRNA from 1 species